GUGCCAGCCGCCGCGGUAAUACGGAAGGUCCGGGCGUUACCCGGAUUUAUUGGGUUUAAAGGGAGCGCAGGCUGAUGAUUAAGCGUGACGUGAAAUGUAGCCGCUCAACGGCUGAACUGCGUCGCGAACUGGUUAUCUUGAGUGAGUUCGAUGUUGGCGGAAUUCGUGGUGUAGCGGUGAAAUGCUUAGAUAUCACGAAGAACUACGAUUGCGAAGGCAGCCAACAAGGCCUUUACUGACGCUAAAGCUCGAAGGUGCGGGUAUCGAACAGGAUUAGAUACCCUGGUAGUCCGCACGGUAAACGAUGGAUGCCCGCUGUUUGCGAUAUACUGUGAGCGGCCAAGAGAAAUCGUUAAGCAUCCCACCUGGGGAGUACGCCGGCAACGGUGAAACUCAAAGGAAUUGACGGGGGCCCGCACAAGCGGAGGAACAUGUGGUUUAAUUCGAUGAUACGCGAGGAACCUUACCCGGGCUUGAACUGCAGCGGAAGGAUACAGAGAUGUUGACGCCCUUCGGGGCCGCUGUGGAGGUGCUGCAUGGUUGUCGUCAGCUCGUGCCGUGAGGUGUCGGCUUAAGUGCCAUAACGAGCGCAACCCUUUUCAUUAGUUGCCAUCAGGUAAUGCUGGGCACUCUGGUGAUACUGCCACCGUAAGGUGUGAGGAAGGUGGGGAUGACGUCAAAUCAGCACGGCCCUUACGUCCGGGGCUACACACGUGUUACAAUGGGAGGUACAGAGAGUCGGAUGUACGCAAGUACAUUCUAAUCCUAAAAGCCUUCCUCAGUUCGGAUUGGGUCUGCAACCCGACCCCAUGAAGCUGGAUUCGCUAGUAAUCGCGCAUCAGCCAUGGCGCGGUGAAUACGUUCCCGGGCCUUGUACACACCGCCCGU
rnacentral:rRNA from 1 species